rnacentral:rRNA from 1 species
GACGAACGCUGGCGGCGUGCUUAAUACAUGCAAGUCGAACGGAAAGGCCCUGCUUUUGUGGGGUGCUCGAGUGGCGAACGGGUGAGUAACACGUGAGUAUCCUGUCCUUGACUUUGGGAUAACUUCUGGAAACUGGGGCUAAUACCGGAUAGGAGCUCCUGCUGCAUGGUGGGGGUUGGAAAGUUUCGGCGGUUGGGGCUGGACUCGCGGCUUAUCCGCUUGUUGGUGGGGUAGUGGCAUACCAAGGCUUCGACGGGUAGGCCGCCUGGGAGGGUGACCGGCCACAUGGGGACUGAGGGACGGCCCAGAAUCCAAUGGGAGGCAGCGGGGGAAAAUAUUGCACAGUGGGCGGAAGCGUGAUACAGCAACGCCGCGUGCGGAAUGACGUGUUACGGGUUGUGAACCGCUGUCGCAUGUGCCGAGGCGUGAGUGACGGUAAUGGGUAAAGAAGCACCGGCUAACUACGUG